AGAGCCACCUUGAACACACCUGAUCCUGCCUGAUUUCAGAAGCUGAGCAAGGCCAGGCCUGGCUCGUCCUUGGAGACUGCCAGGGAAUCCCAGGGGUCUUUU
rnacentral:rRNA from 1 species